rnacentral:rRNA from 1 species
UUGAGCUUGAUCCUGGCUCAGGACGAACGCUGGCGGCGUGCCUAAUACAUGCAAGUCGAGCGGACUUCUUAAAAGCUUGCUUUUAAGAAGUCAGCGGCGGACGGGUGAGUAACACGUGGGCAACCUGCCUGUAAGACUGGGAUAACUUCGGGAAACCGGAGCUAAUACCGGAUAAUAUAAGGAACCUCCUGGUUCUUUAUUGAAAGAUGGUUUCGGCUAUCACUUACAGAUGGGCCCGCGGCGCAUUAGCUAGUUGGUGAGGUAAUGGCUCACCAAGGCGACGAUGCGUAGCCGACCUGAGAGGGUGAUCGGCCACACUGGGACUGAGACACGGCCCAGACUCCUACGGGAGGCAGCAGUAGGGAAUCUUCCACAAUGGACGAAAGUCUGAUGGAGCAACGCCGCGUGAGCGAUGAAGGCCUUCGGGUCGUAAAGCUCUGUUGUUAGGGAAGAACAAGUGCGAGAGUAACUGCUCGCACCUGACGGUACCUACC